CCUAGGGAGGCUGCAGUGAGGAAUAUUGCGCAAUGGGGGAAACCCUGACGCAGCAACGCCGCGUGAGUGAGGAAGGUUUUCGGACCGUAAAGCUCUGUCGAGCGGGAAGAAGUGCAUGGUGGCUAAUAUCCAUUAUGCUUGACGGUACCGCUAAAGGAAGCACCGGCUAACUCCGUGCCAGCAGCCGCGGUAAUACGGGGGGUGCUAGCGUUGUUCGGAGUCAUUGGGCGUAACUGGAGUGGUCAGGGGUGAAAGCCCUGGGCUUAACCUAGGAAGUGCAUUUGAAACUGUUCAGCUUGAGUAAGGGAGAGGAAAGUGGAAUUCCUGGUGUAGAGGUGAAAUUCGUAGAUAUCAGGAGGAACACCGGUGGCGAAGGCGACUUUCUGGCCCUAUACUGACGCUGAGACGCGAGAGCGUGGGUAGCAAACAGGAUUAGAUACCCCUGUAGUC
rnacentral:rRNA from 1 species